GCAGCAGCAGCAGACCCUAUGUGGGGUCUACAGAGGACCAGGCUGAUAUGCCUGGAGGGCAUAGUGUUGGGAGGGCAGGGAGGAGCGCUCCUGCAUUGGUUUGAAAUACCAGCAGGAGUGUUUACAGGGCGGACUUGGAAAGGGCUUAUUACCAAGGAGAACCUCACCUGUGCCCUGAAGGGUCGGCCCUGAGGCUGCCCCUCUUCUGCCUUUGGGCCGGUCUCCAGGGCCACCUGGUGACCCUCCCCAGUCUCUCUCCCAGGGUGCAUCACCCCAGCACCACCUCCAGGCCGCCUAGCAAUCCCCAAUGUCUCUCCCACCCGCUAGCAAGUUGUGGACAAGCCCACUGGGGUGGACUGCAGGGCGGUGGUGGCGCCCCAGGUCUGCGUGUCCUCAGGCUCUGUCUACAGUCUGUCCACUCCGGGACCUCUUCCUUGCGCCUUCAUCCUCUCCACUGGCCCUCAUCAUCUCUGUGCAUGUCAGAUUUUGCUGAUUAGAAAGUGGACUCAGCACAAGAAAUAUUUAAUAAGAUACUUAAUUAUUCUUAAUUAAUGAAUGAAAUGGAUCCCAUAACAGAACUUCUGGCCCAACAUGGCUUCAGUGCAGGCGGUGAUGAUCUUGCCAACAAGAGCCCAGAGUCCGGAGGCUAUGGGGUUGAUUAGUUUAUUUGGUCAGCAAGGGCAGGUCUUUGAUCCAGCUCCUCUGGGAUUCUCCUUAGCUCUUACCUCACGGCCUCACUUUGACUGCUACAUCUCCUCCCAUCACAUUCCCCCUACCAGGUCGAAGGAAAACAGUGAUGAUUGAUUUCCACCACCCACCUUCCUUUAAAGAGAUGAAACUUUCUCCAACACCACCUGCCUCCUAAACAGGGCUCCUCUCAGCUCUAUUGGGCAGAACUGGGUCAUGUGUUCUCCCCACCCCACCAUUCCAGCAGAGGAAAGAGAGGGCCAUGGCUGCUUUCCUCCAGUCAAGAUUCAUCCCCUGGGGAUGGGCCUACUUUCUGUGAGCCCAUUUCAUCAGGAGACCAGGACAGCUGACAUUUUAUGUAUUCGUAUUUAUUGUAUUCGGCAUAGAAGAAACAGCCGCUGGGGAAAAGAGCAGCAGUGUUUGCAAUGGGAGGCAAGAAGUUCAAGCACCAGAAGCCGAAGGACAAAACAGACUGUCCUGUGGAAAAUACAGACAGGAGGGUCGCGGUGCCAGCAAGUGGGGCUGACGUCUCCAGGGAUGAGUGCGUGACAGAGAAAGGACAAAACAGAGAAUGGCAUUCAUUUAGAGACAUUUACAGGAACACUGUUACCUGACCAUGACCUGACCUCA